GCAUUGGUGGGGUAGUGGUAACCUGGGUCGUUGCCACAGUUCGGAUUCGUAAUAGGAUUCGACCCGCCGGGGGUUCGAUUCCCUCCCAAUGCA